UAAAAGGCCUUACUGAAGGCCACAUAGAUUACAUCAGUUUUUAU
rfam:Colinus virginianus strain Texas jcf7180006023208, whole genome shotgun sequence.